CAUUCCAAAAGGAUAAUUUGAUAAUGUUAGCUAUAAUUAUUUAUGGUAAUUAUUAAAUGGAUUAAUAACCCCUAAAAUGGAAAAUCAAUUUUAAAUCCCCAAUCGUUCAUGUUUAUUAACCCUACCUGCUGAAGAAGAUAAGUGCGCUUGAGCUUGCCCUUUUGCCGACCAAACUUAAACGAAUUUAGGGCUCUUUCCAACCCAUUUUUUGUUUGAUUGGGAAAAAGGGAAAAGGCACACAACGAGGCGAUGAAAGAUACACGAAGGAAAGCACGAGGCAGAAUCAUUGGGGAAAAAGGAAUUUGAUCCUCGCCUGAUCGAGAAGGAGAACCACGGUUGAGAACGGCCGCAAGGUCUAUUAAUGGUCCAGUGGCCGAAUUCGUCAGUGGCCAAAUUCACAAGGAGGGGCGAGCAACACAAGAGGUCGUCGCCUCUUGUCUUUCAUCGGGAAGAGAAAUUGCUGUCUCUCGGUGUUUGGAGGAGGACGACGAUAGGAUUGUAAGAAAGAUUUCCACACCUUUUGUAGCUCCAUGCCUGAAUUCAACGUCGUGGGUUCAUGUAAUGACUUGUUAUGCUUGUCUGAUUCGCUUUACGGUGAACCCGUUUACGUUUUCAACCCGUUUUCUCGGGAUUAUUUGUAGCUUAGGAAGUCCAAGCAGUUUCAAGAAUAGGUCGAAGAAACUGAGGCAAAUUAAACAUUUUUUUCACCUGAAUCGCAUGUGAAAUUCUUCCUCCAUCUAUUCGAAUUUCUAAAAUCUAAAUGAUAACAACUUUUAUUUUAAAUUCAUUGUCAAUUUGGCAUUUUUCUGGUAUCAGUUUUCUCGCAUGAAGCUGCAAUUGACUUCGUAAUUUGCUAUUCCUCUUACAUAUUUAGGUGGUCAAAAUUUGGGCUAAAUUGUGUUAAUGAGAAUUGCUCAAUUCAACAAAGUUUUCAAUGCCUAUUAGGUGUUCGAUGAAAUGCUUGAUAGGUGUUUUUGACCAAUGGUUGCUCAACGACCAUAUACAUGGACUGCUAUUUCUAUGUCGAUGAUGUGGGGGUAUUUGACAUCAGUAGCUUUAAUUUUUGUUGCAUAUGGUGAAAUUUAUGAAGGUGAAGAUGACCUUCUUUAACCUUUUCUUGCUGGACUUAGUUAUGCGAAGAAGUGCACGACAAGUGUCUAUUCAUGUAUCAUAGUUUUCGACAUGCCUAGCUUAAAGAAUGGCCAUGAAAUAAAUUUAUGUUACUUCAUCUCACGAAAAUUGAGUAUGUAAUUGUGGUGUUGAUUUGUAACUUACAGGUAAACCAAUGAAGAAUCACAUGAAAAGAAAAUAUAUGCAAUAUUCUUUCAGAAUCAAUAUUUUAGCAUAUUCUUUUAGAAUGAGGAAGAUCAAUAAUUACAUUGUAGAAGAUUUCGAAUCAAGUCGAUUAUUUGGACCAUUGAAAAAGAACAAGCGUAUCUGUUCAAGAAUCAUAUAUUUGAGAAUGAUAUUUUUUAAGAAUUUUAUGCAUUUUAAUGAUAUUCUGUUAGAAUAUGUAUAAUUAUAUUAAAAUGUAUCAGAUUAAUAGUCUGUAAGAAUAUUUAUGAACUUGUAAUUAAGUUCGGAUGUAUAUGAAUAUGUAAGAAUGUUGUUAUUAUUCAA